AUCACAAGGUUCCAUCUAUUUUGACAAACAAAGACAAGCGUGAAAAAAGGCAACUCCACUCAUGAGCGAAUUCCCCUCAUGAGCGAAUUGCCCCCUCAUGUCCCCAUGUUAAUGAUCCUUCCGCAGGUUCACCUACGGAAA
rnacentral:misc_RNA from 1 species